rnacentral:rRNA from 1 species
GCGUAAGCGCACGCAGGCGGUCUGUUAAGUCAGAUGUGAAAUCCCCGGGCUUAACCUGGGAACUGCAUUUGAAACUGGCAGGCUUGAGUCUCGUAGAGGGGGGUAGAAUUCCAGGUGUAGCGGUGAAAUGCGUAGAGAUCUGGAGGAAUACCGGUGGCGAAGGCGGCCCCCUGGACGAAGACUGACGCUCAGGUGCGAAAGCGUGGGGAGCAAACAGGAUUAGAUACCCUGGUAGUCCACGCCGUAAACGAUGUCGACUUGGAGGUUGUGCCCUUGAGGCGUGGCUUCCGGAGCUAACGCGUUAAGUCCACCGCCUGGGGAGUACGGCCGCAAGGUUAAAACUCAAAUGAAUUGACGGGGGCCCGCACAAGCGGUGGAGCAUGUGGUUUAAUUCGAUGCAACGCGAAGAACCUUACCUGGCCUUGACAUCCAGAGAACUUAGCAGAGAUGCUUUGGUGCCUUCGGGAACUCUGAGACAGGUGCUGCAUGGCUGUCGUCAGCUCGUGUUGUGAAAUGUUGGGUUAAGUCCCGCAACGAGCGCAACCCUUAUCCUUUGUUGCCAGCGGUUCGGCCGGGAAC